AGUGUAAGAAGCGAAAUAAUUGCGUGUGGUUUCGGCCCGUAUUUUGGAGGUGAAAGUCCUUCCUUAUACUA
rnacentral:tRNA from 1 species